UACGUAGGGGGCAAGCGUUGUCCGGAAUCAUUGGGCGUAAAGCGCGCGUAGGCGGCCAGACAAGUCCGGUGUGAAAGUCACAGGCUCAACCUGUGAAUGCCGCUGGAAACUGUCUGGCUAGAGUCCGGAAGGGGCGAGUGGAAUUCCCGGUGUAGCGGUGAAAUGCGCAGAUAUCGGGAGGAACACCUAUGGCGAAGGCAGCUCGCUGGGACGUUACUGACGCUGAGACGCGAAAGCGUGGGGAGCAAACAGG
rnacentral:rRNA from 1 species